GAAUUUGACGGUAACUUAAUCUUUUCAGAGGAGCCUGUAUUUUAAUCGAUAACCCACGAUAUUUUCAACCUUAAAAUAUAGUUUGUAUAUCUCUGUCUUAAGAAUGUUUUAUAAGAAUUAAUUUUCACCAAUUUAUUAAAAAUUGAAGUCAGGUCAAGGUGCAGUUUUUUAAGGGUUAUAUGGGCUACAUUUAUUUAAAAUUAUGGAUUUAAAGGAUUAUUCUUUUAAUGAAACUGGAUUUGAUUGUAAUAAAUAAAUCUUUUUAUUUAUGAUAUUUGCCCUGAGUUAAGUACACAUCGCCCGUCACUCUUAUUAUUUAGAUAAGAUAAGUCGUAACAAAGUAGGCUUAUCGGAAGAUGAGCCUGGAAUUAAAUUCAAUUUGUGCUAGAGAGCUAUUAUUAUUUACAUUAAUAAAAUACUUGUGCGAUUCAAGUCAAAUUGAAUAUAUAAUCAUUUAAUGAAAUUUUUAGUGAUUUUUAAUUAAUAAAAAUAAUUUUUAUUUAAGUAAUGAUUAAUGAAUUUAUUUAUAUAUAUAUAUUUAUAGAUUAGUAGUACUGUAAAGGAAUAUUGAUUUUAUAAUAUUAAGUAGACUUUUUAGUUGUACCUUUUGUAUCAGGGUUUAUUUAUUAAUAUUAACUAUAGUUAGUUAUCCCGAAAUUAUAAGAGAUAUUUAUAUUUAUGUGUUAAUGUUGCAAAAUUAUUUUUAAAUUAUAAAUAGGAGUUAUAUGCUAUUCAAUUAUAAAUAUCUGGUUUCUUGAGAAUUGAAUUUAAUUCAUCUAUAAUAAAUUAUAUUAUGUAUUUAAUUACCAUUAAUUUUUAUAGAAACAUUUUAGGGGAUAAGCUCUUAAAUAUUUUAUAGAUUUUAUAUUAUUAUUUAAAUUAAGUAGGAUUAAUAAUUUCUUUCUUUUAAUACUUUGUUAUAAUUAGAUUUAAUUUAAAAAGUUUUAUUUUUUUGAUUCUUAAUUUUUUAUCAAGGAAUUUUAUUUAAUGUUAUAUUAAAAGUUAUAAUGAUAAAAUUAGUAUAAUCUUUAUAAUAUAAACAGGAACUUGGCAAUUUUAAUAUUCACCUGUUUAACAAAAACAUCUCCUAUUGUUAUAUAUUUAAUAGGUAAGGCCUGCUCGGUGAUUAUUUUAACAGCUGCAGUAUUUUGACUGUGCAAAGGUAGCAUAAUCAUUUGUCUUUUAAUUGAAGGCUGGUAUGAAUGGUUUAAUGAAAUAUUAACUUUCUUUUUUUAUUGAAUUAAAAUUUAAUUUUUGAGUGAAAAAGCUUAAAUUUAGUUGGGGGACGAGAAGACCCUUUAGAACUUUAAUAAUUUUUUAAAUAUUUUUUUAAGGUUAUUAUUUAUUUAUGUUUUAAAAAUUAUUUUUAUUGGGGUGAUAAAGAAAUUUUAAUAACUUUCUUUUUAUUUAUAUUACUAAUUAGUAUAUUGUUGAUCCUAAUUUUAGAUUAUAAGAACAAGUUACCU
rnacentral:rRNA from 1 species